CCCUAAAAAUUUUAUCCAUUUCUAUUGUUAAAAGCUAGCAUAAUUGACAGAAUAACCAGACAAUUACACAUAAAAUACUACAUAUACUUCAUGCUGACAUAUAAAAAUUAAUUUUUAACAGUAAAAAUAAAUAAUUUUUUUAACA
rfam:Gossypium hirsutum cultivar TM-1 unplaced genomic scaffold scaffold1092.1, whole genome shotgun sequence